UACCAGCACCCCGAGUGGUCGGGACGAUUAUUGGGCCUAAAGCAUCCGUAGCCGGUCAUGCAAGUCUUCCGUUAAAUCCAGCCGCUCAACGGUUGGGCUGCGGAGGAUACUACGUGGCUAGGAGGCGGGAGAGGCAAGCGAUACUCAGUGGGUAGGGGUAAAAUCCUUUGAUCCAUUGAAGACCACCAGUGGCGAAGGCGGCUUGCCAGAACGCGCUCGACGGUGAGGGAUGAAAGCUGGGGGAGCAAACCGG
rnacentral:rRNA from 1 species